GGGACGUAAGGCAAAAUGUACAGCUCUUGGCAUCCAGACCAGAAGGGCCAGUUGUGACCUGGAGGCCAGCCAAUGUCAACUAACCAGGUGCCCGAGGUCACACAUACGGCACGGGUCUCACGCACAACAUUCUUUGGCUCGGGGGUGGUCAGUUAUGCAGGACAAAUCGCUGAGGCCUCCACCAUGUAGGACAAUGGUUUAGAUACAAUGGCUUCAAAAAUUAUGGAGUUAAAAAGGGACCAUGAGGUUCAUGAAGUUCAUGAGUCAUAUGAACUGUUCCCAGCUCUGAGUAAGUUUGGAGAUGAACUCUUUGAGACUCUGAUGUGUUUAGUUGGUUUAUGAAUGGUUGCUUCAUAUGCAUAUAAUGAUUACUAUUCAACAGAAGAUUUGAGGAGGAUAUUGCUGAUCUCUAGAGCUAAGUUUCUGUGCAGCUCUCUUUCCCCAUGUAAUCUCUUUGUAAACUCUAAGCCUCUUUGACCUCUUCAGAUUUCAAACUCCAUCUUCUCAACUCAGGGUUACUAUUUGGUUCCAACUGGAUUUCCAAUUACUGCAUGUCAGCCUAGUUAUUCUCUUCAGCCAAUAAGGUGGCACAAUUUUAGGACUUAUUUUCUUUCCCUGUAUGAAUAAUCACUAUCCUAUGCUAAUUCAUAUUUAAUGUCAAAAAAAAUUGUAUGUUUUGUCUGAUUUUUUUCUAGUUUAUACUUGGUGGUGACUAAUUCAAAUUCAUGUUAUUGCAUAUUGACUGGAAUCAGAAUUUUUUUUUUAAGGUUUAAAUUUCUCUUUUAUGUAAUACUCUUCAG
rnacentral:lncRNA from 12 species